rnacentral:rRNA from 1 species
UACGUAGGGGGCGAGCGUUGUCCGGAAUUAUUGGGCGUAAAGGGCGCGUAGGCGGCCAUUUAAGUCUGAUGUGAAAGUGCGGGGCUUAACCCCGUAAAGCAUUGGAAACUGGAUGGCUUGAGGACAGGAGAGGAAAGUGGAAUUCCUAGUGUAGCGGUGAAAUGCGUAGAUAUUAGGAGGAACACCAGUGGCGAAGGCGACUUUCUGGACUGUAACUGACGCUGAGGCGCGAAAGCGUGGGGAUCAAACAGG